rnacentral:rRNA from 1 species
UGUCUACAACAUAGCGUUAAUGCACUGGAUCCCAUUAGAACUCUGCAAUUAAGUGCGCUUGGGCUAGAGUAGCACUGGGAUGGGUGACUGUCUAGGAAGUCCUAGUAUUUUAUAUGC